GAUGAACGCUGGCGGCGUGCUUAACACAUGCAAGUCGAACGGUGAAGCCAAGCUUGCUUGGUGGAUCAGUGGCGAACGGGUGAGUAACACGUGAGCAACCUGCCCUGGACGCUGGGAUAAGCGCUGGAAACGGCGUCUAAUACGGGAUAUGAGCCUCUUCCGCAUGGUGGGGGCUUGAAAGAUUUUGUGGUCUGGGAUGGGCUCGCGGCCUAUCAGCUUGUUGGUGAGGAAAUGGUCCACCGAGGCGUAGACGGGUAGGCGGCCUGAGAGGGUGACCGGCCACCCUGGGACUGAGGCACGGCCCAGUGUCCUACGGGAGGCAGCAGUGGGGAAUAUUGCACAAUGGGCGCAAGCCUGAUGCAGCAACGCCGCGUGAGGGAUGACGGCCUUCGGGUUGUAAACCUCUUUUAGCAGGGAAGAAGCGAUAGUGACGGUACCUGCAGAAAAAGCGCCGGCUAACUACGUG
rnacentral:rRNA from 1 species